rnacentral:rRNA from 1 species
AACGAACGCUGGCGGCAUGCCUAACACAUGCAAGUCGAACGAGACCUUCGGGUCUAGUGGCGCACGGGGGCGUAACGCGUGGGAACCUGCCCUUAGGUUCGGAAUAACUCCCCGAAAGGGGUGCUAAUACCGGAUAAUGUCUUCGGACCAAAGAUUUAUCGCCUUUGGUUGGGCCCGCGUUGGAUUAGCUAGUUGGUAGGGUAAAAGCCUACCAAGGCGACGAUCCAUAGCUGGUCUGAGAGGAUGAUCAGCCACACCGGGACUGAGACACGGCCCAGACUCCUACGGGAGGCAGCAGUGGGGAAUAUUGGACAAUGGGCGAAAGCCUGAUCCAGCAAUGCCGCGUGAGUGAUGAAGGCCUUAGGGUUGUAAAGCUCUUUUACCCGGGAUGAUAAUGACAGUACCGGGAGAAUAAGCUCCGGCUAACUCCGUG